CAGCUCCUGAGAUGUGCGACAAUCUUACCAAUUUUGAACCUGCAAACUUCUGACAGGGAGACAUAAGAUACAAAGCCGGAUGUCAGGCCGCAACUCGUUGAGAAAAUAGCGGAAGACAAAUGGCCUUGUUCGGUCACCCACCUGGCAUUGCCAGGCGUCAAUAAGUAAGACCGGCAUUUUGGGGCUGU
rnacentral:other from 2 species